rnacentral:rRNA from 1 species
AUUGAACGCUGGCGGAAUGCUUUACACAUGCAAGUCGAACGGCAGCACGGACUUCGGUCUGGUGGCGAGUGGCGAGCGGGUGAGUAAUACAUCGGAACGUGUCCAAUCGUGGGGGAUAACGUAGCGAAAGCUACGCUAAUACCGCAUACGAUCUAAGGAUGAAAGCGGGGGAUCGCAAGACCUCGCGCGAUUGGAGCGGCCGAUGGCAGAUUAGGUAGUUGGUAGGGUAAAGGCCUACCAAGCCGACGAUCUGUAGCUGGUCUGAGAGGAUGAUCAGCCACACUGGGACUGAGACACGGCCCAGACUCCUACGGGAGGCAGCAGUGGGGAAUUUUGGACAAUGGACGCAAGUCUGAUCCAGCCAUUCCGCGUGCAGGAUGAAGGCCCUCGGGUUGUAAACUGCUUUUGUACAGAACGAAAAGGCUCUGGUUAAUACCUAGGGCUCAUGACGGUACUGUAAGAAUAAGCACCGGCUAACUACGUGCCAGCAGCCGCAGUAA